rnacentral:rRNA from 1 species
AUGGGAACGCGAAGAACCUUACCUACUCUUGACAUCCAGAGAACUUAGCAGAGAUGCUUUGGUGCCUCCGGGAACUCUGAGACAGGUGCUGCAUGGCUGUCGUCAGCUCGUGUUGUGAAAUGUUGGGUUAAGUCCCGCAACGAGCGCAACCCUUAUCCUUUGUUGCCAGCGGUUCGGCCGGGAACUCAAAGGAGACUGCCAGUGAUAAACUGGAGGAAGGUGGGGAUGACGUCAAGUCAUCAUGGCCCUUACGAGUAGGGCUACACACGUGCUACAAUGGCGCAUACAAAGAGAAGCGACCUCGCGAGAGCAAGCGGACCUCAUAAAGUGCGUCGUAGUCCGGAUUGGAGUCUGCAACUCGACUCCAUGAAGUCGGAAUCGCUAGUAAUCGUAGAUCAGAAUGCUACGGUGAAUACGUUCCCGGGUCUUGUACACACCG